AACGCACAUUGCGCCUCUCGGUAUUCCGGGAGGCACGCCUGUUCGAGCGCCAUUACAAACUCCAAGCUGUGCUUGAUGUUGGUCGAUGUGUGAUUUUCCGGAUGGAAAAGGCACAGGACUGGAACAAGUCGGCGCCGCCGCCAGACCACGAGCGUAGCAAGACGAGAGUCAAUACAUCGCAUCGGUUUUGGAUCUGACGGAGGGUGGCCUUAAUUUCUUGCGUGUGAUAUCUGGGCGACGGAGCGUCUUUGAGUAGACGCGGGUCGUGUGGAGAGAGGGCGCGCAAGGCUUAGCAAGUUUGGCCUCGGAUCAGGCGGGGAUACCCGCUGAACUUAA
rnacentral:misc_RNA from 1 species